AGAACGAACGCUGGCGGCAGGCCUAACACAUGCAAGUCAAACGGGUGUAGCAAUACACUAGUGGCGCACGGGAGAGUAACGCGUGGGAACCUACCUUUUGGUUCGGAAUAACAUCGGGAAACUGGUGCUAAUACCGGAUAAGCCUUUCGAGGGAAAGAUUUAUCGCCGAAAGAUGGGCCCGCGUAGGAUUAGCUAGUUGGUGAGGUAAUGGCUCACCAAGGCUUCGAUCCUUAGCUGGUCUGAGAGGAUGAUCAGCCUCACUGGGACUGAGACACGGCCCAGACUCCUACGGGAGGCAGCAGUGGGGAAUAUUGGACAAUGGGCGAAAGCCUGAUCCAGCCAUGCCGCGUGAAUGAUGAAGGCCUUCGGGUUGUAAAGUUUCUUUGACGGGGACGAUGAUGACGGUACCCGUAGAAUAAGCACCGGCUAACUUCGUGCCAGCAGCCGC
rnacentral:rRNA from 1 species